UGCGACCCGAUUCACCGCGGUGGAUCCAGUGCUCCGGACCGAGAGCUUGCCAGAAGCGCCGGUCUCCGGCUGGAGCUGACCCUCCGCGGCGAGCGUGGGCUGGGGAAGGAGGCGCCCGUGGGCGGAGCUGAGGAAGUCGCGCUCUGGGCGGCGGUGUCUGAUCUGCAACAACUCCGAGUUCUGAGGACACCCUGCAAGGAGCUGAGCAGAUGUGGACAGUGGAAGGUGACCGUCACAGGUGUGCUGCCUACUCACCCCAAGACCUGCACACACAUCCAUGGGGCCUCAUGCUCAUUACCCGGUUCCCCAGAAGUUGCCUUGGUCGUGGUGUCUCUCCACAGCAACAGAACAGUCUGAGAUGACUUCCUGCACCGGGUUUCUUUGGGAUGAUCCUUUCCCUCGGGCAGGUCGCCACACAACCUUCUCUUCUGUAACUCCGUACAGCCUCAGGCUGCACAGCACAUCCUUCCCCAGCCCCGCCCCAAGGCUGUCACCGACUAGCUGGCGCCAGUCCCAGGAAGGAAGCACAUCCUCUCAGAAAAGAU
rnacentral:lncRNA from 1 species